GAUCUCAUUUAUUGUCUCUACCAGUAUUGAAGCCAUUUGCCGUAAGACUUUCUCCAAGAAAAUAGAGCUCUAACUUCUGUUUACAUAUGUCAAAUUGAACCCAAGAGUUUAUCUCAGUUCCCUACUAAGCUCCUACUAAAAUGAUAAUGAAGAAUAAAAAAAAACAUACACUCAGAAGAAUUACAAAACAGGGUUGGAAAGGACAGCAAGGGAGAGAUGUCAACAAAACUCUGGAAUAUAGAAAGCUGAUGGACAAAUGAUAAUUGAAUUGGCAGAGCAGAAGACAAAAAUCUCAGCGAAAAGAGGUCAACAAGAAGGUAGCCAGUCUGUCCACAGAAUACCUGAAUAUUGCAGGAAAUAAGGACACUAGUUACCUCUGAAGAAGAGGGUACAUAAGAAGAGUGCAAAUCUCCCAUGGUUCCUGUGCCCCAGAGCCGAGUUAUCUGGGCUGGCUGAACUAGGACAAAGCAAGCAAAC